GUCAAGUUGUGAAGAAAUACUUGUGAAAAUCGUUACACUCUGAUUCACCCCCCCCUCUCAGAGUGUCUCCACUUCCAACAAAAAUUGAAUUCGAUUUAUUCGCAUUAAUCACUAUGUUUGCAACUUCUUUUGGGUUUAUGGCAGUAAGUGGUAAAUUUCUUUGGUUUAUUUUCAUUUGGCAAAUCAAAGGAGAAAACGACGGAAGCUCUGGAGAUUUGGUUGAAAUUUGUUUCUUGUUUGGUGAUCUCAUUUGCAGUUUCAGGUUGCUUUUGUUUGCAGUAAACCUGUUUAGCGAGAGGUCUCAAAAAUCAAGGGUAGAGUCUUGGAUGCGAGGAGAACACUCUUUCGCGUUUGCAGCUGCAUUCUUUCACUCCUGAUUUGCGUCAAAGUUGGUUGUACAGGUUUUUGGCUCAUGGGAUUUGGCACAGGGCUUUGGAAAAUUUUGUCUUCUUCCAUUGGUAGCAGCUGUGAAGUCUACAUUUGAAAAUUAUCCGAUGGGUUUUUUUGGCAAAUUGUCAUAUGGGCUCUAUGCAAAACUGAUAUUAUAUGUGUUGUGACCGCAUUUUAUAUGUGGUUUUGGGCAGGGUGCAUAAACUGAUCUAUCAGAUACUAUAGGUUUAUUUUAUGAGUUGUGACCAGAGGUUUUCUUCCCAGGGUUCUUUCCUCUAGUAUGCUCUUUGAA